GGGGAGCGUUUACAGCCAAGCAACGUAACAUCUGAGCGCGCGGGAAGCUUAUACGAUGUCCAGAUGGUAUAUCCGGAGGUACGCGUAGUUGUUGAUGCCACAUUCAUGGCUGGCUUCAAAACGCGCAAGGAAAUGAUUGUGUACAUGAUGAUUGAAUUUAACUGCAUUAACUUACGCUAUCGUAGCGUAUCCGGCCCAGAAUGCGAAUUUGGUUGCGUUCGGUUGACUUAACAGUUAAAGUCAAGGAAACGUACUAGGUAUUCAAUAUGGAAAUUUAUUGACGGUCUAAAGACUCUCUACAAAUUAGUCGACUAUGUUGAUGAGCGUAAAAGAAGUAUGACCAUACGACAUCGUGUUUUUCGUUACUGGGUAUGAUAUGGCGGCGGUUGAAGGUUCCAGAGUUGAAACAGCAUUACAAGGCUUUGCAUUUGUUGGAUCAGUGUGCCUAAAAACGAGAGUUGGCCUUGGAGAAGAUAGAGCUAAUACAUUUAUUGGCAUAAGAAUAAUCGCCCACGAACUAGGACACACUUUGGGAUGCUCACAUGAUGGCACAACAGUAGAUGCUCACAUAAAAGGCAUCAAGGCAGAUUCUGCUAGGUGUCCCUGGGAGACAGGAAACUUGAUGAGUUAUAUUGAAGAAAACGCCAACAGCAUGAAGUUUUCGUCAUGCUGCGAUUAUUCGAUGUCGCUGGUGGCAUGGUCAAAAGAUAUAACCUGUUUGCAUACAAUAACGACAAAAAGUCGCAUUAAAAGAAAAUACAAUACAUCGAGAAUUCCCGGAGACACACUUGGUCGAACCAAGCAAUGUAAAAUGACAUAUCCUACUCUUAAAACUACCUACUUCAUGGAGAGCCUUGGAAUAGUGAACUGUAUGGCACAGUGCUUUGUACGAGGGGCGGAGUUCCAGGCUUCAGAUUCUCACUGGCCGAUGCUUCUCAUUGAUGGAACACCGUGCGACAAAUCCAGAAGAUAUGUAAGCUCAAAACAGCAAAAACACGUAGCGUCUACAU